rnacentral:rRNA from 1 species
AGAGUUUGAUCCUGGCUCAGAGCGAACACUGGCGGCGUGCUUAACACAUGCAAGUCGAACGGAAAGGCCCUUUCGGGGGUACUCGAGUGGCGAACGGGUGAGUAACACGUGGGUGAUCUGCCCUGCACUUCGGGAUAAGCUUGGGAAACUGGGUCUAAUACCGGAUAGGACCAUGCCAUGCAUGUGGUGUGGUGGAAAGCUUUUGCGGUGUGGGAUGGGCCCGCGGCCUAUCAGCUUGUUGGUGGGGUGAUGGCCUACCAAGGCGACGACGGGUAGCCGGCCUGAGAGGGUGUCCGGCCACACUGGGACUGAGAUACGGCCCAGACUCCUACGGGAGGCAGCAGUGGGGAAUAUUGCACAAUGGGCGCAAGCCUGAUGCAGCGACGCCGCGUGGGGGAUGACGGCCUUCGGGUUGUAAACCUCUUUCACCAUCGGCGAAGCCCAUGAUUUUUGUUGUGGGUGACGGUAGGUGGAGAAGAAGCACCGGCCAACUACGUGCCAGCAGCCGCGGUAAUACGUAGGGUGCGAGCGUUGUCCGGAAUUACUGGGCGUAAAGAGCUCGUAGGUGGUUUGUCGCGUUGUCCGUGAAAUUCCCUGGCUUAACUGGGGGCGUGCGGGCGAUACGGGCAGACUGGAGUACUGCAGGGGAGACUGGAAUUCCUGGUGUAGCGGUGGAAUGCGCAGAUAUCAGGAGGAACACCGGUGGCGAAGGCGGGUCUCUGGGCAGUAACUGACGCUGAGGAGCGAAAGCGUGGGGAGCGAACAGGAUUAGAUACCCUGGUAGUCC